CUUCGAUUUCAGUCUCCUUCUCCCCAUCUCCUGUCCACAUAACUAUGUUUAGCCUCUUUCUGCAGCUCCCCCUGCCAGAGAUUAAUUCAAUUGUUUUUUGGCGUCUGCAUACACUGUGUGAAGAAAUGGGAGGGUGGGUCUUGGCAUGAGCUCUCGUACUGUAUGUCCUGACGCUGCAACCUCCCCUGGGGUCACCACCUGGCGCAGGUGAAGGAGCCGCCAGACAGGGACCCUCAUUUCCACUGGAGCACCGAGGCUCACCCUGCUGCGCUGUGCUGGCAUGUCUGCCCUGUUUUCUGGGAAGGCCGCCGUGAUUAAGGGAUAGACACCUCCACAAAAGGAGUGGGGGGAGGACGAGGAGGAUAAAGUCUGAACAGGAAUAAAACGUGUUCACAACGCCUCUUAUAUGCCAAAGAGCCCUUUCCCAUGGUGUGCAGAAGACCCAAGCUGAGCCAAACAAACAUUUUGGAGCUUUUUUCCUACAACUGAGUGACCUGCAACUUACAGAGUACCCAUGGGUGAACAAGUUAAGUGGCUGAAAUGGGAAGACAUAUGUCUUUUGAUGGGUCUUCACCGGUGUGGAGGAAAGCCGAACUGGGGCUCCCAGGCAUGAGCUGCGAGAGGGAGACCUGUUCCUGAGAGAGAUGAAUGGAAAACUGUACCACGCCGGAAUUUACUGUGGGAACAACGAAGUCAUUGACUUCACAGUUCCACAAGAGAAGAAAUUAGCGCAAACCAUCUCAUCAAGUCAAUUGUCCUGUGGUGACGUGUGCAAAAGACACAUCAAACAUUUUACAAAAUCUUCAGGAAAAAUGGAGGCACUCCAGAGCAUUUUCAAAGACGAGUUUGCGGCGCAAUGAGCCUUGAGAAAGCCUACAAUAUCCUCACAUUCAACUGCCUGCAUUUCGCCUUAUGGCUUCUGGGGGACGAAGGUCAAAACAAAAUUGACCAUACAGUCCAGUAAUUGCAGGAACUAUGGUAAAGGAUGUCCACAUGAACCAGAAAUCCAUUUGAACUUUAUGGAUGAAGAGCUUCAGAGGAGCAGCAGAGGUGGGCACCUGCGGCCUAA